AUAUGAAUCACCUGGGGGUCCUCUUAAAAUGCAGAUUCUCAUUCAGGAGGUCUGAGUGCGGCGACCCAAGAUUCUGUGUUUCUAACAAGCUCCUAGGUGAUGCUGAU
rnacentral:pre_miRNA from 1 species